rnacentral:rRNA from 1 species
GACGAACGCUGGCGGCGUGCUUAACACAUGCAAGUCGAACGGAAAGGCCCUGCUUUUGUGGGGUGCUCGAGUGGCGAACGGGUGAGUAACACGUGAGUAACCUGCCCUUGACUUUGGGAUAACUUCAGGAAACUGGGGCUAAUACCGGAUAGGAGCUCCUGCUGCAUGGUGGGGGUUGGAAAGUUUCGGCGGUUGGGGAUGGGCUCGCGGCUUAUCAGCUUGUUGGUGGGGUAGUGGCUUACCAAGGCUUUGACGGGUAGCCGGCCUGAGAGGGUGACCGGCCACAUUGGGACUGAGAUACGGCCCAGACUCCCACGGGAGGCAGCAGUGGGGAAUAUUGCACAAUGGGCGGAAGCCUGAUGCAGCAACGCCGCGUGCGGGAUGACGGCCUUCGGGUUAUAAACCGCUUUCGCCUGUGACGAAGCGUGAGUGACGGUAAUGGGUAAAGAAGCACCGGCUAACUACGUG